CGCCUGUUUAUCAAAAACAUAGCCUAUCGAAAUCUAAUGUUAGGUAAAACCUGCCCAGUGUUUUAUAAACGGCCGCGGUAUCCUGACCGUGCAAAGGUAGCAUAAUAACUUGUCUUAUAAUUUAAGACUAGAAUGAAUGGUUAAAUGAGGAGCAGCCUGUCUCUACCUCAAUGUGAAAAUAUAACAAAAAGUGAAAAUGCUUUUAUUUAAUAAAAAGACAAGAAGACCCUAUAGAGCUUCAUUUACACUCUAUAACCAAAUUUUGCUGGGGCGGCAAGAAAAUAUUAAAAACUUUUCUCUUCAAAAGAUCCACAAUCUUAAGAUCCUCAUGGAUAAAAAAACAUAGCUACCUUAGGGAUAACAGACUAAUUUUAUUUUAGAGUUCUAAUCGAAAAUAAAGUUUGGCACCUCGAUGUUGGCUUAGGAUGUCUUUUUAUUGAAGAAGAUAAAAAAGAUGGUUUGUUCAACCAUAAAAUUCCUACAUGAUCUGAGUUCAAACCGGAGA
rnacentral:rRNA from 1 species